GAUGAACGCUGGCGGCGUGCUUAACACAUGCAAGUCGAACGGUGAAGGCGGAGCUUGCUCUGCUGGAUCAGUGGCGAACGGGUGAGUAACACGUGAGCAAUCUGCCCCUGACUAUGGGAUAAGCGCUGGAAACGGCGUCUAAUACUGGAUACGAGCUUCGAAGGCAUCUUCAGCAGCUGGAAAGAAGUUCGGUCAGGGAUGAGCUCGCGGCCUAUCAGCUUGUUGGUGAGGUAAUGGCUCACCAAGGCGUCGACGGGUAGCCGGCCUGAGAGGGUGACCGGCCCCCCUGCGCCUGAGACACGGCCCAGCCUCGUACGGGAGGCAACGGUGGGGAGUAUUAUACAGUAGGCGCACGCCUGGUGCGACGACGCCGGGUGAGGGAAGCCGGCCUGGCAGUAGUAAACCUCUGUUCGCAGGGAAGGGGCGAAAAUGACGGUACCUGCAGAAAAAGCGCCGGCUAACUACGUG
rnacentral:rRNA from 1 species